AACUCUGCAAAUUGGCCCCGUAAGUUCGCGAUAAGGGGUGCCUCUGGGGGUGUUAAAGCUCCUGGGGGUCACAGUAAAUCGGCUUCAGCGACUGUUUAUCAAAAACACAGGACUCUGCGAACUCGUAAGAGGAUGUAUAGAGUCUGACGCCUGCCCGGUGCCGGUAGGUUAAGGAAGAGGGUUAGCCGCAAGGCGAAGCUCGCGACCGAAGCCCCGGUAAACGGCGGCCGUAACUAUGACGGUCCUAAGGUAGCGAAGUUCCUUGUCGGGUAAGUUCCGACCUGCAUGAAUGGCGUAACGACUGAAGCACUGUCUCAACCAGUGACCCGGUGAAAUUGUAGCCGUGGUGAAGAUGCCACGUUCCCGCAGCGAGACGGAAAGACCCCGUGAACCUUCACUGUAGGCUGAUAUUGGGCUGUGGUAUGUCUUGUGUAGGAUAGGUGGGAGGCGUCGAUCUGGGCACGCAAGUGUUCAGGGAGCCAACCUUGAAAUACCACCCUGGACCUGCUUUAGUUCUAACUCUGAUCCCGUGAAUCCGGGCAGAGGACAGUGUCAGUUGGGCAGUUUGACUGGGGCGGUCUCCUCCGAAAGAGUAACGGAGGAGUCCAAAGGUACCCUCAGCCUGGUUGGCAAUCAGGCUUCGAGCGCAAAGGUAUAAGGGUGCUUAACUGCGAGACUUAUCAGUCGAGCAGAUACGAAAGUAGGGCUUAGUGAUCCGGCGGUGCUGGAUGGAAAGGCCGUCGCUCAUCAGAUAAAAGGUACUCCGGGGAUAACAGGCUUAUCGCUUCCGAGCGUCCAUAGCGGCGAAGCGGUUUGGCACCUCGAUGUCGGCUCAUCACAUCCUGGGGGUGGAGAAGCUCCCAAGAGUUUGGCUGUUCGCCAAUGAAAGUGGUACGUGAGCUGGGUUCAGACCGUCGUGAGACAGGUCGGUCCCUAUCUGCUGUGGGCGCACGAAACUUGCGGAGAAUCUUCCUUAGUACGAGAGGAUUGGGAAGGACGUUCCUCUGGUGUCCCAGUUGUCGCGCUAGCGGCACGGCUGGAUAGCUAAGAACGGAACGGAUAAACGCUGAAAGCAUAUAAGCGUGAAGCCCGCUCCAAGAUAAGGUUUCGUUGGACAAUAGUCCGAAAGUCCCCUGGAAGACGACCAGGUCAAUAGGCCGGAUGUGUACGUGGGGUUAACCCAUUUAGCUAACCGGUACUAACGGACGAACGCUUGACCGC
rnacentral:rRNA from 1 species